GUACACUCCUGCGGGAGGCAGCAGUGGGGAAUAUUGGACAAUGGGCGCAAGCCUGAUCCAGCCAUGCCGCGUGAGUGAUGAAGGCCCUAGGGUUGUAAAGCUCUUUCACCGGUGAAGAUAAUGACGGUAACCGGAGAAGAAGCCCCGGCUAACUUCGUGCCAGCAGCCGCGGUAAUACGAAGGGGGCUAGCGUUGUUCGGAUUUACUGGGCGUAAAGCGCACGUAGGCGGACUAUUAAGUCAGGGGUGAAAUCCCGGGGCUCAACCCCGGAACUGCCUUUGAUACUGGUAGUCUUGAGUUCGAGAGAGGUGAGUGGAAUUCCGAGUGGAGAGGUGAAAUUCGUAGAUAGUCGGAGGAACACCAGUGGCGAAGGCGGCUCACUGGCUCGAUACUGACGCUGAGGUGCGAAAGCGUGGGGAGCAAACAGGAUUAGAAACCCGGGUAGUCCC
rnacentral:rRNA from 1 species